GAUAGGAUCUAAUAUGUAUGCAUAAGCCCAAAUGUUCAAGGCCCACUUAGAGGGAGUUAGUUACAAUAGAUAAAGAAAGUGGAGAGGUUAUAUAAAGGAAUGAGAGGAUAGAGUUAGACAUCUUUGAUCACAAUUCAGUUAGGAACCUUAUGGUUUAGGCAGAGAGAGAAACAUCUCUUCUCUGAGGAGCUUCUGCUCUAGGGUUACAGGAUUAUCUUCUGUAAUACAUCUAUUUUCAAUUCAAUAAUACAAUUUAUUUCUUUUCUGUGAAUUCGAGUUUCUAUCAAUUGGUCCGACCUACCGGAUCAACUCUCACCACCACGGGUAACUUGUAGAUGCAUUAGAGAUUCAGAUGGAAACUGUGACAACCGCAUUGCAAAGUAUUGCCUCUCAGAUGCAGCAACUCGCUCAACAGAUGCUUCAACAGAGUGUGAUUCUGACAGAAUUGAGCAAAAAAGCUUGGUUCCAAGGAGGUGACUCAGGAGGGUGAAACCUCUGAUGGUGAUUCAGUUCAGAGCAAAAUUGAAGAAACAGAGGAGAAGAUGAAAUUGGACUUCGAUCUGAACUCGUCGACAAAGGAGAAAGAAGAAGUUUCAUUGUUAACUGGGGCACUGUUUUCACGAUGGAUAAACUUUCAAUCAUCGUUAGAAAACAUUCAUACAGAACUGAGUAGGGAGGAAAGAAAAGUUAAACAAGAGGCUCAUAUCAAUCCAAAACCACCGCUGAAUCUGUCAUGUCCGCCUUCGCCAGAAAAACCUCCGGACUCCGGUCAACCCGUGACUAUAGUUCCACGGCGAGCACCGCCGCCGAGACCACCAGAUCUACAUGGUUUGGUUGACGGGGAAGUCUAUGCGAAAUCGAGCGUCAAGAAGAGAGGAAAGGUACAAAGGAGUCUUGGUGGACCGCCGUUAAAGUUGUCUGAACCACCGUACUCUGGUUGCAAUUCUGAUCACGAGUGUGGCUUUGUUGCUGAAGGCGAGAAGGUUCUAGAGAAGGCAGGGGCAAAAAAUGAAAUUGGUGAAUUGUGUAUCACUUUACACCUAAUGGGUCACAUGCACAAAUAUCUGCCAUCCAUUUUGCACAGUAAUAACUUAGUACAUGUGUCUUCAUCAGGUCAACACACAAUCUCUCUUCUAUCUCAUGUGUCACUUAAUGAUAAUGAACAUUCCUUACCUGCUAAGUGUCAUGCUGACACAAUGCAAUGUGAAUUGGGUCAAUGCUAUAACAAAAAGGGUCAGACCCAAGUUAAUUUUAGUUUGGUUUUUAAAACGCUUACAAUUACUAUGUGGGCUGGGAUGGAGCUAUUUGACCCGGUUCUAGUAAAUAUGGUCCUUUUGGUAAAAGACAAAAAAGCCUUAGAUAGACUAUCUCAAUAUCGAUUGACACUGGGCCUGGUCCAAGGUAGAGAGGUGACUGCAAUUGUCCAAAAAGUGCUUUCUCCCUUCCCCGCUCUGAAUUCAUAUUUGGUUUUUCCUUUCCAUGCGUCAUCCUGUCUUCAUAUAUUUUCUUCAACUUCACUUGGAUGCCUCUACAUAAAGGAAAACGUUGGGGUGUCUUUGAAUGACCUUUCAAUUAUAAUAGAGUUAUGGGGUGAGCUUUAUGAAGUAGCAGCAACCAGGUCAAAUGAACUUAUGUUAAACUGCAAGAUUGUCAUGCUAACAAAUCUGAAUAGGAAAACUGAAGUUACAUCCCUGAAGUCUGCAUUUCAAAUAGAGGUUGUAGCAAUGGAGGAUGUAGUAAAUAGUGUUGUCAUGCUGCUGAGAAUUGCAGAAGAGUCAGCUUUUGACCUUUUGUUUAGAUUGGAUGUAUUAAUUGAGACUCUGGGAACUACUUUGACUGAGAUGUAUAUGAAACAUGGGCUAGUUUGUUGUGCACAUGUGCUCUUUGUAGGGAAGGCAUUGAGAGGAAUUUAUGGGAAUAAUGAAGACUAUGCGUUAGCUUUGGGAAUGAUAUCCUUGUAUUCAUGGGAUUUUCCCAGGCAAUGGGAUCCAGGGAAGAACAAUAUUUUUAUGGGAGUUGCUGAAUAUGAACAUGAUUGGAGAAAUCCACUUUCAAUCUAUGGUUUGCUUAAUUUGGUAUAUGACAGAGGGAAGAUUUGGUUCAAAAGCAUUUGGGUGCUGCUUAUGUUGGUAUAUGACAGAGGAAAGUUUUGUAAAGCACAUGGGUGCAAUUGAUGUCCAACAAGAGUAUUGGAGGAAUCCAUUCUUACUCAUUUUUCAAGUGUUUUUAAGGGGGUGGUAUUGAUAGGAUCUAAUAUGUAUGCAUAAGCCCAAAUGUUCAAGGCCCACUUAGAGGGAGUUAGUUACAAUAGAUAAAGAAAGUGGAGAGGUUAUAUAAAGGAAUGAGAGGAUAGAGUUAGACAUCUUUGAUCACAAUUCAGUUAGGAACCUUAUGGUUUAGGCAGAGAGAGAAACAUCUCUUCUCUGAGGAGCUUCUGCUCUAGGGUUACAGGAUUAUCUUCUGUAAUACAUCUAUUUUCAAUUCAAUAAUACAAUUUAUUUCUUUUCUGUGAAUUCGAGUUUCUAUCA
rnacentral:lncRNA from 1 species